UACAGAGGUCUCAAGCGUUGUUCGGAUUCAUUGGGCGUAAAGGGUGUCGUAGGUGGCGCGGUAAGUCGGGUGUGAAAUUCGAUGGCUUAACUCCGAAACUGCAUUCGAUACUGGCCGUGCUUGAGGACUGGAGAGGAGACUGGAAUUUACGGUGUAGCGGUGAAAUGCGUAGAUAUCGAGAGGAACACCAGUGGCGAAGGCGAGUCCCUGGACAACUCCUGACACUGAGGCACGAAAGCUAGGGGAGCAAACAGG
rnacentral:rRNA from 1 species